GCCUCCUUCCAGACCUGCAGGUCCCGGUUCGCCUCCCGCCCCCGGAGCAUCUCCGUUUCGUGCACGGAGACUGUUGACAUCCCCGUUAGGAUUAAAACAAGACACCUGGAGUUUGGAGCCGGAAGGCCCUGGGAGCCCGCGUGGUCCAUCUCACAGAGAGGCCCCUGUCGCCCCCGGGCCCUGUCCGGAGGACAAGCAGGCCAGGGCCCGAAGCGCAGGACAGGGCCCUCGCCUGCCUCCACCCAGCUGGGUGGCUCCCAGGGUGGGAUUCGGGGCGCUCGCCUCACCGGCCGCACCCCCGAGCCUGGAGCCUGUGCGCCCAUUUGUCGCCCCCCGUUCGGACGUGAACCGGAGUCCCGACCGGGUGUCCGGGCCGAGCGGCGCCCCUGCGUGUCACAGCGGCCCUCCUCGGUUGGCACCCCCGUUGCUGGAAACACUCGCCGAGGAAGCCCCCCGGUGCCUCUCCGGGGAAGCAAGCGGCCUGCACCCCCUAUCUGGGCCCCCCUUCACCCACUUCCAGGGGGUUCUCUGAGUGCUUGACGGUUCGCUCCAGGGUCUUCGGGGCUGAGAGCUGGGCAGGUUCGGGGUCAGGAAGAGCAGAAUUGGGGCUCGGCUGGUGGGGACAGUGUGCCCCCGGGCCGGGCCUUCCUCGUCUCGGUGGGGCUGUUACUCCUCGGUGCCCAGGAGUUGAGGGAGGGUUGCUGGCGGGCACCAGGUGCUGCACCUGGCGGGGAGAGGGGGUGAGGGGCCCCCAUUACUCUAGGGCGACAGCACACACCAGCUCUACGGGUUACUGGGUGCUGACGGGGGACAGAGGCCAGGCCGUCGGCUGGCGAAGAGGAGGCCGGGCCUCCACGGAGGCCGGGUGUCUGCAGCCAGGAUCGGAGUCGGGGGGGGGGGGGGGCUGGGGGCUGUGGGCUUUGCACCUUGCACCUCGGGACAGCCCAUGGACGGCAGCUGGCUGAGCACCAGGUGCACCAGGCUUGCCACAUCGAGCGCUCUUCUCCGCGUCCCGGGGCUUAUUCUUCUGGGGGCACCAACCGAGUGUGAUCCUGCCCGGCAGGGUGCCUGUGUGACCUGAGAAGACGCGCGUCGGCGUGGAGCGCAGUGUCCCGUCCGCGUUUGGUUGAAACGGUGGCUGCUGUCUUUAUUACGGGCCUCUCUGCCUCCGGAGGGGUAUAAAGGCCCUGGGAGUUGGGGGCCCAGGAAGAUGGCAGCGCGGUCCUUUCCAUGCUCAGGUGGAUGGAAUGGUUUCCUUGGAGCAGCAUUUCCAAAGGGGGGCUCCUCAAGGCCUUGAGAUAGUCUAGAGGAAAAAACAAAAAACUGUGCUCCUUUGAAUUUCAAAUGGCACGUAGGAUGUUAAAGGCUCUGAGAAGUCCUGCAGUAAAGGAAACUUUCUUGUUUAACCUUGAGUGGGGCAUCUCCCAAACCCUGAGGUUUCGUUUUUUUUUCCUUCCUCCUUUCUUUCUUCCUCCCUCUAUCCCUACCUUUCCUCCUUCUCUUUCUUUUCCUCCCUCCUUCUCUCCUUUAUUUUCUCCUUCCUCCCUUCUUUCUUUUUUCCCCUUUUUUCCCUUCCCUGCAUCUCUCUCUCUCUCCUUCCCUCCCCUUUUGGUUUUUCCAGGACACCCCAACAAUCUGGGGGGCUUGGACUCCUCUGAAUGCCUGAAUAAGCCAACAUAGGGACUCAGAAAUGCCUACCGUUUUCCAUCGUAUUUAAAUGACAGAGAAACUGCCUAGACACUAAGAGCAAUGCCUCUCAAACUCUCUUGUCCCCCCAGAGACACUGUCACGGUAGAGAUGCAGGCCAACAGGUCCGGGGUGGAGUUUGAGAUGAUUCCAACCAGGUGUCUGGCGAUGCUUGUUAGAAAAGCAGACUCCCUUAAAGCCUCACCCUAAAUCUCCAGAGUCAAAAUACGUACCUGAAUGAGAUCUCCAGAUAUUGUGAGGUGAGCGCCGCGGUGAGCCUGGUAAACAUCCAUCACCACCCAGAGGUGCAAGUGUUUGCUCCUGAUGAGAACUUCUUGGCGACUUUCAAACACGCAGCACGCAAAUGACCAAGGUUGUAAACGGAGACCGCAGGUGACCGUGAAGCCAAGACCCCCGGUGCCCUUGGAGGACACAGCCCGAUGGAGCAAUUGUCCAGCAGCGCUAGUGGCUGCUCUUUGCUGAGGGGGGCAUCGCCUCUGAUUUUAACUCACUUUCGCCUGAGGAGACUCUGCAGCGGGGGGACGGGGGUCCUGACCAAGUUCCCACUGUUUUCCCACUGUUGGUUAAUGGUUAAUCCUGCCUUUAAAAUCAGAUCUGGGGGAUCCCUGGGUGGCUUAGCCAUUUGGCAUCUGCCUUCAGCCCGGGGUGUGGUCCUGGGGUCCCGGGAUCAAGUCCCAUGUCGGGCUCCCUGCAGGGGGCCUGCUUCUC